GGAUGUUGUGGCUCAGUGGUGGAGCGUCAGCUUUGCAUGGUGGAGAUCCCAGGUUCAAAUCUGGGUAUUGCUA
rnacentral:tRNA from 1 species